GGGUGAGUGGUCUCAACGGUAAGAUACCUCGUCAGGGUAACCUGUCUCCCAACCUGCGAAGCAAAAGCCGAGCGAUAAAUGGCAGCGGGGCGAGGUGAUAUUGGUUCGAUUCCGAUCUCGUCCA